UUCUUUUUAGCUUAUGAAGUAAAGCGAUAGUUUGAAGAGCUGUAGAUGAUUUUUUCAAAAGAAG
rnacentral:tRNA from 1 species